rnacentral:rRNA from 1 species
GACGAACGCUGGCGGCGUGCCUAAUACAUGCAAGUCGAGCGAAGUUUUUCUGGUGCUUGCACUAGAAAAACUUAGCGGCGAACGGGUGAGUAACACGUAAAGAACCUGCCUCAUAGACUGGGACAACUAUUGGAAACGAUAGCUAAUACCGGAUAACAGUAUUUCUCGCAUGAGAGAUAUUUAAAAGUUGGUUAUGCUAACACUAUGAGAUGGCCUUGCGGUACAUUAGCUAGUUGGGGGGGUAAAGGCCCACCAAGGCGACGUUGCAUAGCCGACCUGAGAGGGUGAUCGGCCACCCUGGGACUCAGGCACGGCCCAGACUCCAACGGGAAGCAGCAGUAGGGAAUAUUCCACAAUGAGCGAAAGCCUGACGGAGCAAAGCCGCGUGACUGAAGAAGGAUUUCGGUUCGUAAAGCUCUGUUGUUAGGGAAGAAUAGAUAUGUAGUAAAUAUGCAUGUAAAAGACGGUACCUAACCAGAAAGCCACGGCUAACUAAGUG